CACGAAGCGGAGGAACGAUGUGGUUUAAUUCGAUGAUACGCGAGGAACCUUACCUGGGCUUAAAUGUAGAUUGCAUGAGGUGGAAACACUUCUUCCCUUCGGGGCUAUUUACAAGGUGCUGCAUGGUUGUCGUCAGCUCGUGCCGUGAGGUGUCGGGUUAAGUCCCAUAACGAGCGCAACCCUUCCGUUAGUUGCCAUCGGGUCAAGCCGGGGACUCUAGCGGGACUGCCACCGUAAGGUGAGAGGAAGGUGGGGAUGACGUCAAAUCAGCACGGCCCUUAUGUCCAGGGCUACACACGUGUUACAAUGGCCGGUACAGAGGGCAGCUACCUGGUGACAGGAUGCUAAUCCCGAAAGCCGGUCCCAGUUCGGAUUGGAGUCUGCAACCCGACUCCAUGAAGUUGGAUUCGCUAGUAAUCGCGCAUCAGCCAUGGCGCGGUGAAUACGUUCCCGGGCCUU
rnacentral:rRNA from 1 species